GAUAAACGCUGGCGGCGCACAUAAGACAUGCAAGUCGAACGAACUUAAUACCUUGCUUGCAAGGUAAGCGGUUAGUGGCGGACUGGUGAGUAACACGUAAGAAAUCUGCCUAUCAGAGGGGAAUAACAGUGAGAAAUCAUUGCUAAUACCGCAUAUGCCAUAGUUAUCGCAUGAUAAUAGUGGGAAAGGAGCAAUCCGCUGAUAGAUGAGCUUGCGUCUGAUUAGCUAGUUGGUGGGGUAACGGCCUACCAAGGCGACGAUCAGUAGCCGGACUGAGAGGUUGAACGGCCACAUUGGGACUGAGAUACGGCCCAGACUCCUACGGGAGGCAGCAGUCGGGAAUAUUGCGCAAUGGAGGGAACUCUGACGCAGUGACGCCGCGUAUAGGAAGAAGGUUUUCGGAUUGUAAACUAUUGUCCACAGGGAAGAUAAAAGACUGUACCUGUGAAGAAAGCUCCGGCUAACUACGUGCCAGCAGCCGCGGUAAUACGUAGGGAGCAAGCGUUAUCCGGAAUUAUUGGGUGUAAAGGGUGCGUAGACGGGAUAACAAGUUGGUUGUGAAACCCCUCGGCUCAACUGAGGAACUGCAACCAAAACUAUUAUUCUUGAGUGCAGGAGAGGAAAGUGGAAUUCCUAGUGUAGCGGUGAAAUGCGUAGAUAUUAGGAAGAACACCGGUGGCGAAGGCGACUUUCUGGACUGUAACUGACGUUGAGGCACGAAAGUGUGGGGAGCAAACAGGAUUAGAUACCCUGGUAGUCCACACUGUAAACGAUGGAUACUAGGUGUAGGAGGUAUUAAGCCUUCUGUGCCGUCGCUAACGCAGUAAGUAUCCCACCUGGGGAGUACGACCGCAAGGUUGAAACUCAAAGGAAUUGACGGGGGCCCGCACAAGCAGUGGAGUAUGUGGUUUAAUUCGAAGCAACGCGAAGAACCUUACCAGGGCUUGACAUACAAGUGAAUGGCUAAGAGAUUAGUCAGUAUUUCGGUACACUUGUACAGGUGGUGCAUGGUUGUCGUCAGCUCGUGUCGUGAGAUGUUAGGUUAAGUCCUGCAACGAGCGCAACCCCUAUACUUAGUUGCCAGCACGUGAAGCAGGGAACUCUAAGUAGACUGCCGAGUGAUAAAUCGGACAAAGGUGGGGACGAGGUCAAAUCAUCAUGCCCUUUAUGUCCUGGGCUACACACGUACUACAAUGGCUAUAACAAAGAGAAGCGAAAUGGAGACAUUAAGCGGAACGCAAAAAAGUAGUCUCAGUUCGGAUUGAAGGCUGAAUUUCGCCUUCAUGAAGCCGGAACUGGUAGUAAUGGCAGGUCAGCAUACUAACCGUGAAUACGUUCCCGGGCCU
rnacentral:rRNA from 1 species